AAGCCGGGCAGGGCGCCCGCCAGCGCUCCGCAGCCCGGCCUGCUCGCGCUCUGUCGCCUCCCCGCUCCACCGUCGCAUUUCGCAGCUUUGCAGGCGGAGAACCGCGCUGGCCUUGGGACCCUUGCCCGUUUGCAGGUGGCCAGGAGGAGCCCCGCUGCGGGCCAGGAUGCAAAAGCCCGUGGUGCAAAGGCUUCCGCAGCGCGCGCCCCUUUCGCGUAGCCGCGUUAGGCAAGGAACGGGCUCGGCGUUGCUCCCCUUUUCCCCCCGCAUGCAAUGCGGGCUUGAGCCUUCAGAGAGGCUAAAUAAAAAUGUACGUUGGUUCUGCGGGGCUCAGACCGCAAGGGACAAGCACGCUUUCCGGGGAGAAAGCCCCACUGAACGGUCAAGUACAUCCUUCCCCCUCCAAUUUUAUCCACACAACAACCAUGCAGGGUAGGACAGAGCAAUAGCGAGUGCGUGACUGGCUCAGGUCAACGGAUGAGGACGCAACAGGGUUUGGAAACCAGCUAGACCAGCAGUUGAAUCCUACAUCAACAGCACUGGUGAAGAGACCGCAUCCUGCAUAGCAUCUGAGGAUAGGAGAACCUGUUUCCAUUGCUCCCCAUUUUUCAUUUUUCCAAUCUUAAGUUCAGUUGUCCACAUUUCGACAUCAGUGUGCAAUUUUUUUUAAUAAAAGUCGUCAUGAAAUUUCAUUAGCACUUUAGUGCGAAUUUCCCUUAAUGCAGGUGCAUGCAAUUUUGCCUGACACAUUUUUGCAAAGCAAUUUUCCCUAAUAUAAUGGAUUUUUAUAUGUUAUUUUCAAUAAUAUGUGCAUCAUUUCUAUAACUGUCCCCAUUUUUGUACACAUGACAUGGCCAGAGAACUGCACUGCAAAAUUCGGAGAAGUGUGACUUUUCGAGGACGGCUGUGUUUCGGUUUGGCUUCAGAAAGUGCAAAGUAGGUUCACAUUUGGACUGGAUCAAAUUUGUUCCAAAUCCUUGAGCAUGCCUAACUGUACUAACAGCAGGCUAGUUUGGGGGACAGGGAGGCAGGCCAGGUCAUGUUGCAUAACCCCUCUGCCCUCUAACAGAGAGGAAGAACUGGGAGGGGCACAUAGGAGGCGUAGCCUGGAACCGCUGCCCCUGCCCAGGAUCUGCCACUUGAGGCAGUUGCCUCGCUUGUCUAAUGGCAGAGACGGCCCUGUGGUCACCCCCCUUGCAUGACAGCGCCACUAAGAGCCUCACUUUGGAAGGAAGUUUCAAAGGAGGCUGGUGGAACUCCCUACAGGCAAAAUCACCCAGUGCCGGAAAGCCACUGUGCUAAAAAAUUGGAGAAAUGAGACUGUACACACCAAAUAUUUAUAGCACACGACUUCCCCCAAAGAAUCCUGGGAACUGUAGUUUAUCCCUCACAGAGCUAUCUUUCCCAACACUCUUAACAAACUACAGUUCCCAGUAUUCUUUGGGGGAAUAGGCCAUGUGCUUUAAAUGUAUUAUUUAUUAUUAUUUAUUUAUUUAACAUUUAUAACCCACCUUUCUUUUUUCAUGAAACCCAAGGCGGCUCACAUAUGGCUCCCAAAAGGGUCCCCCAUCCAGGCACUGACCAGACCUGACCCUGCUUACGUGCCUUCAGACCAUAGCUGAUGGACCAAUGUAUGGUGUAUAUGCAGCCUGAGAAAUUGAGAGAAGCCAAAAUGGACAGAUUUGCCUGUUCCUAGCCACCGUGGACCCUUGUGGCUUUUCCUUGGGCCCUACAGCCACAAGCCACACACUUUGGGAGCUCAUAACCCUAAAGAAACAGCCUUGGCCGCCUCUAGCGACGGCUGGUGAAAUGAGUGCCAAGUUCCUAGCCCAUCAUGCCUCCCGAGGGUGCUUGAUCUUUAUUCUUCUCUUCCUCAGCACCUCCAGAGCAUGUGAAAACAGUAAAGGCGGCAGAACAUUUGCGGCCAUAAAGUUAUACAGCCCUUUAUUUAACUUGGCCAGGCUCUGAAGGCAAAUAUCACUGCCCGUCGCCAGGGAUGGGCGAAUCUGGCCUUUGCUGUUUCUCUCCAUUUUUUAAUCUGCUCCAGAUUUCCACGGCAGUUUGUGAAUUGUUUUUUUAAAGUCCUCGCGAAAAUUCAUCAGCGUUUCAGUGUGGAUUUCUCCUAAAGUGCACGCAUGUGUGCCUGCAAGUUUGCCUUAUAUGCCUGUUGUUGCAAAGCAACUUUCCCUAAUAACGUAAGAGCCCUACAGCAGCACCUGGGUCAGGCCGAAGGGAGCCCCUCUAGUCCAGCCUCCCGUCCUUACAGUGGCCAACCAAGUGCCCCCGUGGGAAGCCCACAAGCAGGAUCUGAGCACAGCAGCAGCAGCCAACUCUCUCCACUUGUGAUUCCUGGCAACUGGCAAAUUGCCUCCGACAGUGGAGGUAGAACAUAGCCACUGAUAGCUUCAUCUGCCAUGAGUUUGUCUAAUUCUCUUUUGAAGCCAUCCAAGUUGGUGGUCAUUGCUACUCUUGGUGGGGAAACUACUAGCCCACGGGCAAAAGGGGCAUCUCUGCUCAAGUCACUAGUCCCUUAAGAGGUGGCUCUAUGUGCGUGACAAAGAAGGCGCACACACAAAACCUUGUGGCUCAAUAAGGCCGCAAUCCUAAACCCACAUACCUGGAAGGACUCCCGAGUAAACAUCCUCAGAUGGCUCUGCAAGUCCAUGAAGGGAGAGGCCUUAUCUCAGUGGCAGAGCAUCUGUGUUGCCUGCAAGAGCCCUGCCUGAAUGUCCCUGCCUGAAUCCCUGCAGAGCGGCUGCCAGUCAGUGUAGACGAUCCUGAGCUAGAGGGACCAAUGCCUAACUCUGCAUAAAGCCACUUGCAAUGAUCCUGCGCCUUCGCAGGGGGAGACCCUUUCAUGAAAUCUUGGAGGGCCACUGCCAGUCAGUGUAGACAGUAUUGAGCCGGAUGGACCAAGGGCCUGACUCGGUAGAAGUCCUCCUUGCGCUGGCAUUGACAGGAGUGUGAUCCAGGAGAUUUUAUUUUGGGAUGUGAGGACAACCUGGAAUUCUUGCAGAUCCGGCUGCAUCUGAUGCGCCCCCAUCCCGUUUUCAAAUCUUGUCACUUUUCCCCCCUCCCCCCAUGUCCAGAACCCCACCUCACCCUCCCAUAACUAGGCUAAUGAUAGGACCAAAGGCUGACAGCCCUCCCCCCGCGCAGUACACAACUGCUGUCAGCUUUUAGCAGAGAGACACAACACAUCAUCAGCCACAGCAGCGCACACGUGUUUCAAAGGUUUGGCGUGGAUGGCAGCCGGGACUUUGAACACUGGGAAGCUCAGAUAAAAGGGGCUUUUUGGUCCUCUGCUUGCUCAUUAAGGCAGGGUGGGAGGACAGCUUAGCAAUUAACGAGGGGCCAAAGAGGCAUCUGAGCAAUGCGCAGGUUUGGGCGAUGCUCGACCGCUUGGCACAGAGCGUGGUACAUUUCCGGCACGUGUGGCCCAGGCAGCUCCCAGGAAUGCCUUUCCAGCAAAGGUCACUUCAGCCUGGGCUGUGACCCUUUUCCGCUUAGCAGGACAAUCACUCUGCAGUGCUGAUUCUGCACUUGCUGUCAAUCCCCAAGCCAAGGUCAAGGCCUCUCCCCAGCCUGCUCUGGGGCAGAGGCCAGAAAGAGGUCCUGAUUCAGAGGGACAUGCCUCGUGCACAAGUAAGGGUGGGUGAAUCCCUCCAUGCCAGUUUCUCAAGUUUCCAAUCAGAAGUUCAGUUCCCUGCUUUUCUACAUCAAUUUGCAAGUUUUACCAAAAAAAUGAGCAUUUUAUACAAUUUUAUAAAAUG